UGCCCAGCAACUCCUAUCCCUACCUCCCCGUGGUACUGGCCGGGGUACGAGUAACCUUGGGGAAGAUCGGGUAACCAACCCCCGGUGGGAACUUUGGUCGUAUGCUGACAGGGAAGG
rfam:Aedes aegypti strain Liverpool supercont1.144 genomic scaffold, whole genome shotgun sequence.